rnacentral:lncRNA from 1 species
AAAAGAAAAGUAACAGGACUGUAUGUGAAUUACCAAUGAUCUUUCAGAGGAACUCAUAUUUAAGAGCUGUGUCUUCCAAGAGGGCUUGGACAAUGGGAGACACCCACAGGAGGCUGGAGGUCAGGAGAGGAGAAUUUGGGAUGUUUCUUACCCUAAUCCUUUCCUGUGCUGGGCUGCAGGUCAGCAGUGACUGCAGUUCAUCAAACCGAGUCCUACCUGGGCAUCCCUCUUCUUUAGUUCCUUUGGUUAUGAAGUCUGGCUGCCUACUGUUGCUGGUACUGAGAUUACUCAUAUUUACUUUUCAGUUCCCUAUCCCUGCCCGUGUUAAUAGUCCCUUCCUUACAUGGCAGUUUUUGAGUGAUCUUGAAAUUUGUCUCCCUCCUUUUCAGGGUCACUAG